AUACGUAGGUGGCAAGCGUUGUCCGGAAUUAUUGGGCGUAAAGCGCGCGCAGGCGGUCUUUUAAGUCUGAUGUGAAAGCCCCCGGCUCAACCGGGGAGGGUCAUUGGAAACUGGGAGACUUGAGUGCAGAAGAGGAGAGUGGAAUUCCACGUGUAGCGGUGAAAUGCGUAGAGAUGUGGAGGAACACCAGUGGCGAAGGCGACUCUCUGGUCUGUAACUGACGCUGAGGCGCGAAAGCGUGGGGAGCGAACAGGAUUAGAUACCCUGGUAGUCCACGCCGUAAACGAUGAGUGCUAAGUGUUAGAGGGUUUCCGCCCUUUAGUGCUGCAGCAAACGCAUUAAGCACUCCGCCUGGGGAGUACGGCCGCAAGGCUGAAACUCAAAGGAAUUGACGGGGGCCCGCACAAGCGGUGGAGCAUGUGGUUUAAUUCGAAGCAACGCGAAGAACCUUACCAGGUCUUGACAUCCUCUGACAAUCCUAGAGAUAGGACGUUCCCCUUCGGGGGACAGAGUGACAGGUGGUGCAUGGUUGUCGUCAGCUCGUGUCGUGAGAUGUUGGGUUAAGUCCCGCAACGAGCGCAACCCUUGAUCUUAGUUGCCAGCAUUCAGUUGGGCACUCUAAAGUGACUGCCCGGUGACAAACCGGAGAAGUGGGGGAUGACGUCAAAUCAUCAUGCCCUUAUGACCUGGCUACACACGUGCUACAUGGAUGGUACAAGGCUGCAGACCGCGAGUUUAGCAUCCAUAAACAUCUCAGUUCGAUGCAGCUGCACUCGCUGCAUGAA
rnacentral:rRNA from 1 species